rnacentral:rRNA from 1 species
GAUGAACGCUAGCUACAGGCUUAACACAUGAAAGUCGAGGGGAAACGAUAUUGGAAGCUUGCUUCCGUUAGGCGUCGACCGGCGCACGGGUGAGUAACGCGUAUCCAACCUGCCCAUCACUUGGGGAUAACCUUGCGAAAGUAAGACUAAUACCCAAUGACGUCUCUAGAAGACAUCUGAAAGAGAUUAAAGAUUUAUCGGUGAUGGAUGGGGAUGCGUCUGAUUAGCUUGUUGGCGGGGUAACGGCCCACCAAGGCGACGAUCAGUAGGGGGUCUGAGAGGAAGGUCCCCCACAUUGGAACUGAGACACGGUCCAGACUCCUACGGGAGGAAGCAGUGAGGAAUAUUGGUCAAUGGGCGAGAGCCUGAACCAGCCAAGUAGCGUGCAUGAUGACGGCCCUAUGGGUUGUAAACUGCUUUUAUAAGGGAAUAAAGUGAGCCACGUGUGGCUUUUUGCAUGUACCUUAUGAAUAAGGACCGGCUAAUUCCGUGCCAGCCGCCGCCGUAA